rnacentral:rRNA from 1 species
GAUGAACGCUAGCUACAGGCUUAACACAUGCAAGUCGAGGGACCGGCGCACGGGUGAGUAACACGUAUCCAACCUGCCCUUUACUCGGGGAUAGCCUUUCGAAAGAAAGAUUAAUACCCGAUAUAAAGGAUGGGGAUGCGUUCCAUUAGGUUGUUGGUGAGGUAACGGCUCACCAAGCCUUCGAUGGAUAGGGGUUCUGAGAGGAAGGUCCCCGACAUUGGAACGGAGGCACGGUCCAAACUCCUACGGAGGGAAGCAGUGAGGGAUAUUGGUCAAUGUGCGCUAGCCGGAACCUGCCAAGUAGCGUGAAGGAUGAAGGCUUAUGGGACGUAAACUUCCUUGAUAUAAGAAUAUGUAUUAUAUGAAUAAGGAUCGGCUAACUCCGUGCCAGCCGCCGCGGUAAUAC